CAGGAGGGGCCACGUGGUCCGCGGGGCACCGCCCCCCGGUGACGUUCCCCUCUGCGGAGGAGGAUUGGCCCAGUCGCGGGGGCGGGGGCUGGACUGCUAACCCCGCUCCUCCCGUCCGCGCAGCGGCCCAGAAGGAGCAGAGCAUUGACCGGUUGGGUGUUCGGCAACGGCGGGCUGGCUGCAGCCGUGCGCAACUCGGACGAUCAGGGAGAAAAUCAGGGGGCUGGGGUGGGGGCUCAGUGGUGGAGCGCUUGCCUGGGGUGAGGUCCUGGGUUCGAUCCUCGGCACCACAAAUAAAUAAAUAACUAAAAAAUCCAUUGACAACUACGUGCAUAUAAAAAGAAGAAAACCUAGAACAAAUUAAUUGCUUUCUGUAAAUGAAGCAACCCGGGGUCAGGCUCUGCUGCUCCCUGGUGGUGCUUUGGGGUUACUGCACCGCUGGCUACCUGCCCCUGCCUCCUUAAGGACACGACCUCGACUUACUUUCCCUUUUAUUAUGAUUAUUUUUCUUUUAUUAGUGCAUCAUAGUUCUAUAUAAUAGUUGGGCUCAUUUUGACAAAAUCGUACAUGUUCGGAAUUUAAUAUACUCCGUUCAGUCCCCGUACCCUCCCCGCUUUCCUUCUCCUCCCUCUCCCUAUUUUCCUUCAUGAUUGGUGCUUUAUAGAUGCACAUGGAGGUGGAAUUUACUGUGGUUUAUUUGUACAUGCACAUAGCGUAAUUUCGUCAAAUUCAUUCUGCAUUUUCUCCCUUUUCCCAUCCCUCCUCCCUCUCUCUCAAUCUCCUUUUACUCCACUGAUCUUCCCUAUAUCUUUAUUAUAUCCGAACCCCCUUCCCCUUUUCUCUCUCUAGCUUCUGCAUAUGAGAAAACGUUCAAAUUUUGAUUUUCUGGGUCUGGUUUAUUUCACUUAGCAUGAUAUGCUCCAGUUCCAUCCAUGGGACUUAGUUUCUUUACAGCACAUGCUCAAGGGUUUAAGAGAUGACACAUCUACUUCUGGUCUGGGGAGGACUCACUGCUCCAAUGACUGAUGAGUCAUAGUCAGAGACUUCUUGGAACUCUCCCAGUAAAAGGGAAUUAACUCAAGGGUGGCUGGGCUGCCAAGUGACACUCUGACAUCUUACCCAGGGCAAUAUAGUAAUAAUAACACCAGCCAGGAACAUAAGAAUUAACAUUUAUUGAGGAUUUACUAUGUGACAAGUACUCUCCUCAGCUUUAGGUAUCUUAACUCAUUUAGUUGCCACAAUUUUAAGUGAUCUAAUCAGCCCAAUUUUACAGAUGAGAAAACAAAGUCACUGUGAGAUUAAGGAAGAUGACCAGUAUAGAAUAUUUAAAAACAUAAUACUGCUUUCUAAAACGAAGCAGAAAAUAUGUCCUUUUCAUAUAAUCCAUCCAAACACACCUCCAAACAUUAUCUGGUUUAAAUACCUGUGGGUUUUCUUAAGUUUUAUUCGGAAUCCAUAUUUCUUCAUAUUUUAAGGUUUCCAGGUACCCUGGGCAAACCAAAGAUUAUCAGUGUUGUUCUUAUGGGGUGGUGACCUAGAUCUGAACAUGGUAUCUCAGCUAGCAUUUGAACAGUUUAUAUUUUCAUUUGAAUGAUGGGCUUCUAAUGAUGCAGACUACCCAUAAAUAUGAAAAAGUCAAUCCACUUUUAAUUUGCUCACGAACCAGGUCCUGUGCCAGUUGCUUUCUGGAAGAAGCACACAGGGACGGUAUUUGUACAUAUUCUUUGUGUAUGAAUAACUUGAGACUUAGAGACGUUGGUUAACUUGGCCAAGGACAUGUUGAUCCAAGCCCAGGGUACUUGGCCAUGGAAAUGUACUUCCCGCCCUCUGCCCCACCUAUUCUUGACACACACAUUUGACCAGUUAGUCCUCUGGCUCUGGCAAAAUGAAGUCUCCUUCCCCAAAGUUCAAAGUUUGCUGUGACUCAGUGGAAAAUACACUUCACCAUUUAUCCGGACAACCACUCUCUCAGAUUCCAGGAGCUGCCAGAUCUCCCCUUUUUCUCUCCUUCCAUACAAUCAGGGCCUAAUUAAGCCCUUCCUGUUUGCACUCCCAUUUCCUACAAAACUCCCUACCAAUCUUUCUAGCCUGCCCAAUUCAUUCAUUUUCCUCCUUCCCCCUGUGGCCUGUGCUCCUGUGCCCCUCCUUGCCCCCUUGAUAUCCAGCUCAAAGUCUGUCUUCUCCAGAGGAAAGCCAUUUUUUGGGGGGGAGGAGGGAGAUGGAGGGACAGAGAUUCUCUUUUUCCCUGUCCUGCAAACAAUUACCUUCCAUCUUAUGUGACUCUUUGUGGUGCUAGAAACACCGCCACCCAGCUGCCAGUGCCUCCCUACAGAAAGGCCAGUUAGCGCCCAGUUUAGGAAUUCUUUCCUCCUCCUUCCAAUACACCCAGGGGUAUAUCCCAGAGUCCCUGUCGGAACUAUGUCCCAUGGUCAGGUUCCCAUUAACUUUUUCCUUCGCCCUGGGGAGUCUUAAACUUGAAGGAAAACGCUCUUUGAUCAUUUAAUGGCCAGGACCUCUGCAGCUAACAAUGUAUUAUAAAUGUCACACCCAUAUAUAAUACAACCUUCUUACCCUCUCUCCUCUGCGUAGGGUCACCUGAUCCUCAGGAAGGUUUAGACUCUCUAUCCCACCUUGUCUUGUAUAAAGGUCGUCCCAGGAUGGUAAGUAUUAUUUCACUGGUGGUGGGGGCCGGUUACCUGCUUGCACAGGAGACAAAACUUCCACACACAUCUUUUAGUUCCCCCAUAAAGUGUGGAGCCUGAUACAUAGUGCUCAAAAAUGUUAAAUAACAAAUGAGAAUAAAUAAGUAAGUAGAAUGCAUUGGCAAGACUGUGAAUGUACAUUUCUGAGUGUGAAUGUGCGUCUCGAGCACAACGUGGUUCCUUUUGAUUGCAUGAGUUCAAGGACUGUGUUAAGUAUCGGGCAGCACCUCUUUGAGGUGUGCAUUUUAACAUGUCAGUAUGAUCCUGGCUGAGACCAGUUACUUUGUAAAAAGGGAUAAAUAAGCCUUCUUGAUUUAAUUUAAUUUAUUUUAAAUCAAGCGUUGGUCCAUGGUGUGUAUGUGUGGGACGGCCUGUGGUCUCUGUGUGUAUGUGAAUGUGUUGGGGGACAUAUUCCUGGAGAACAAUUUGUUGACACUGAUGAUGGGUUUAGUAAUAAGCUUAAGUGAUUUCUCUGACUUCAAGGAAUUUACAACAUACUUGGAGGGAGGGGAUUUAGACUCAGAUAUAAUUAUUCCCGGAACAUGUAAUAAGGACUAACUUGCUCAUCAAAGCAAUUGUCACUAUCUGGAAAUCAGAUAAUAUAUAUUAAAAAGCUAAUUGUGCAGUAAAAAUAACAAGCAUGACAAGAAGUCAGUAGGGGGAAAGAUAAGCUUGGGUUGGAAAGAUCAGAAGUCUUCUGAAGAUGGGAUCUUCAUUUCCCAUUUUGUUCUCUGUCCUUUGAAAAGCUCAAUGGAACAGUUUUGGGGCUUUCUUAGCUUCCCCUUCACCAGCUGAUAAGAAUGUUUUGACCUAGUCCUGGUUCAUGUUGAGGCCCCAGAUUUCUAACAGGUUUGAGAUGAAGUUAGACGCAGAGGCCGCCUUUCUCCAGAUAGGACCCCGUGUCCAAGGUGGAGGAUUGCUUCAAUCUGGGUUCCUGUGGACCUUGGACUAGAGUCAGAAUUCUGUGUUCUGCAUGAUCUGAUUUUUCUGUGUCUAAACACAUUUCCCUGGGGCCCAAAUGAUCUGGAAAUUAGACCUAAGGAGAAGAAAUGGAGCCUCAAAGGUGGCUCCCAAUGAGCAUCUCAUGUGUUUCCCACAUGGAUAGGGCCAGAUUCUGUAACCAGUAGGGUAUCAUGGAUAUAAUAGCAUAUGACUUCCUAGGUUGGGUCAUAAAAGACUUUGGUUUUUAUAUCUUGUUCUCUCUUGGGAAGAGCUGCCUUAGGAAACUCUUGGGAGGAAGCCACCUUCCAUGUUGUGCAGACGUGGAGAUAUCUCUGCAGCGAGGAGCUGAACAAAGCUUCUUUCCAACAGUCAAUGAGAGCCAGUUUGCCAGCACUGUGAUAUCUUUGGCACAUGAGACGUUUCAUUACCCAGAGGGUCAGAUUCAAAGUACCACAUUAUAUUUAGUUGUCAAGUCUCCUUAGGUUCAUCUUGGCUGUGACAAUUUCUCGCUUUCCUGACUUCUGAUGACCUUGAUGGUUUUGAAGAGCUCUGGUCAGGGUCUUACAAAGCUGCCCAGGCUGUCCUUGAGUGUGUGAUCCUCCUGCUUCAACCUUCUGUGUCUGUGGAAUUACAGACAUGUACCACCAUGCCCAGCCUGCUGAGGACUUUCUUGCUGCAUCGUAACAUGGUGGAGGGUAUCACAUGGUUAAAAAAAGGCACAGGAGAGAGAGAGAGGUUAAACGAGGUCUGAUGACUACCCACCUUCUCAUCAUUGCUACACUUUCCUGCUCAGAACUUUCCGACUCCCUCUGACCCUCUCUCUGCAAAGGACAGGUCUGAAGAUAUCAGGUUCAUUUCUUCCUGCUGCUGCCCUUGGACAUCAGACUCCAGGUUUUUCGGCCUUUGGAUUCAGACCGAAUCAUUGGCCUUAUUUCUCCUUCUGAGGUUCAGCUUGUUGGCCUGAGCAGCUCCAGGCUUUCCUGACUCCCCAACCUAUGGACAACUACCACGGGACUCUUCCGCCUCUGU